rnacentral:rRNA from 1 species
UACGGAGGGUGCAAGCGUUAUCCGGAUUUAUUGGGUUUAAAGGGUCCGCAGGCGGACUAAUAAGUCAGUGGUGAAAUCUCUCGGCUCAACCGAGAAACUGCCAUUGAUACUGUUAGUCUAGAGUGUAGUUGGCGUAGGCGGAAUGUAUCAUGUAGCGGUGAAAUGCUUAGAUAUGAUACAGAACACCGAUCGCGAAGGCAGCUUACGAAACUACAACUGACGCUCAGGGACGAAAGCGUGGGGAGCGAACAGG